rnacentral:rRNA from 1 species
GAUGAACGCUGGCGGCGUGCCUAAUACAUGCAAGUCGAACGAGGUGCUUUUGUAGCAAUACGAGAGUAUCCUAGUGGCGAACGGGUGAGUAACGCGUUGGUGACCUACCCCAAAGUGUGGGAUAACAGUCCGAAAGGAUUGCUAAUACCGCAUGUGGUCAUUGGAUUUAGAAACUGAUGACUAAAGGAGCGAUUCGCUUUGGGAGGGACCUGCGUCCCAUCAGCUAGUUGGUGAGGUAACGGCUCACCAAGGCGACGACGGGUAGGGGACCUGAGAGGGUGGCCCCCCACAAUGGAACUGAAACACGGUCCAUACACCUACGGGUGGCAGCAGUAGGGAAUAUUGCUCAAUGGGCGAAAGCCUGAAGAAGCAACGCCGCGUGUGCGAUGAAGGCCUUCGGGUCGUAAAGCACUUUUCUGCGAGAUGAGAAAGGACAGUAUCGUAGGAAUAAGUCUCGGCUAACUACGUGCCAGCCGCCGCCGUAAGAC